UUCUUUCAGCCUCCGGAUUAGUUACAGGGGAUCCGUUUUAUAGCUUUUUUGUGUAGUAUUGAACACAGCGCCAUCUCGCCUUGUUCGAUGGAAGGUCCGUGAGCAUCGACUUGCUAUCGUUGGGCUCCGCAGUCGACGACUUUCCACCAGUAACCGGAAGAUGGCGUGUGCCGAUAUUAUACGGAAGGCUAUAUCUUGGAGUCCCUUGUCAAGUAGCUGCUGAAGAAUGUUGGUGUCAAUAUUUAAUACAAAAUUAUAUUUGGGAAUUUUCGGUCUGUCUCCUGUCCUUGGAGUUGUUAAUAACUUGCAUGUUGAGUGUGCGACGGCGGCGUCAUCUAACGGACGAUUGAGGUCGUACUAGCUUUGUCCGUGACGUAGGCGUUGAAUUGGGCGAUUUAUAUAGUCCUGCGCCUGCGAGCUGCCGCAUUCCCCAGACAGCGCUCCGCCGAGCGGGUGUGUCCACACCUUCGAUUUUUAGUGUGAAUUUCGGGUGAGAAUUUGUCUUUACAAUGCGUUAUAGCAUUUUAAUCGUAAUUAUCAGUGUCGAUAUAUGUUGUCAUUGUUUUUCUUUUAGGCGGUUUAUAAGCGUGUGACCGGUGGCCCGCAACUCCGUCGCACGCGCCGCCAAAUCUUCGUAAAUUUUUAUUCUGGUAAGUAAGUUAUACAUUUCUGUCAUCUGUCGUGACUCGUGAGUGUUAGUGUUUGCGGUCAGGAUUCUAAUGUGCGAUUUGUUCCGAAUAGGUGUGGUUUUGGUGUCCGUGGCGUGGACACGUUGCUCCGCCAUUUUGUCCCAGCGUCGUGGCAUCGACGUCAUCGUACGUUGGCCGCAUACGUGGCUUCUCGACCUCCGACAGGUGAGUCUUUUUAUACGAUUUUGGGGAGUUAGUUGGGUUGUGCCUCCGCCCCUAGAGGUUUGAUUUACCCCUGUGCGUUUUGUCCACAGGAGGUGUUUUGGGAAGGUGUUUUGGGGUGGCUGUUUUGCGAAGUUGUUUUGUGACGGCUGUUUUACGAAGGCUGUUCUGUUCUAUGACGGGUGUUUUGUACAGCUGUUCUGCUACUGCUACAGCUACAGCUUAUUGGUAGCUGCUUCUAGUCGGCUCGGCUUCCUUCCCGCCGCCGAGGGCAAACGAGCUAGGGAGGUUUUUAUAAUACCUUUCUUAUUUUUUUAAUAAUGCUUAACGAAUGACCAGUGGCCUUGAAUACCUGGAAUGUACCCUUAGGAUUUAAAAGUUCCAAAUACCUAUUUAUAUUUUUGUGUAACUUUGGUUUUCUUAGUGAUUAAUAAAUUCGAGUAAACCCA